GACGAACGCUGGCGGCGUGCUUAACACAUGCAAGUCGAACGGAAAGGCCCUGCUUUUGUGGGGUGCUCGAGUGGCGAACGGGUGAGUAACACGUGAGUAACCUGCCCUUGACUUUGGGAUAACUUCAGGAAACUGGGGCUAAUACCGGAUAGGAGCUCCUGCUGCAUGGUGGGGGUUGGAAAGUUUCGGCGGUUGGGGAUGGACUCGCGGCUUAUCAGCUUGUUGGUGGGGUAGUGGCUUACCAAGGCUUUGACGGGUAGCCGGCCUGAGAGGGUGACCGGCGACAUUGGGACUGCGAUAGGGCCCAGAGUCCUACGGGAGGCAGCAGUGGGGAAUAUUGCACAAUGGGCGGAAGCCUGAUGCAGCAACGCCGCGUGCGGGAUGACGGCCUUCGGGUUGUAAACCGCUUUCGCCUGUGACGAAGCGUGAGUGACGGUAAUGGGUAAAGAAGCACCGGCUAACUACGUG
rnacentral:rRNA from 1 species